rnacentral:rRNA from 1 species
UCGGGAAUUUUGGGCAAUGGGCGAAAGCCUGACCCAGCAACGCCGCGUGAGGGAUGAAGUAUUUCGGUAUGUAAACCUCGAAAGAAUGGGAAGAAUAAAUGACGGUACCAUUUAUAAGCUCCGGCUAACUACGUGCCAGCAGCCGCGGUAAUACGUAGGGAGCAAGCGUUGUUCGGAUUUACUGGGCGUAAAGGGCGCGUAGGCGGCGCGGUAAGUCACUUGUGAAAUCUCUGAGCUUAACUCAGAACGGCCAAGUGAUACUACUGUGCUAGAGUGCGGAUGAGGCAACCGGAAUUCUUGGUGUAGCGGUGAAAUGCGUAGAUAUCAAGAGGAACACCUGAGGCGAAGGCGGGUUGCUGGGCCGACACUGACGCUGAUGCGCGAAAGCCAGGGGAGCAAACG